UCGGGAUAGCUCAGCUGGUAGAGCAGAGGACUGAAAUUCC
rnacentral:tRNA from 1 species